rnacentral:misc_RNA from 1 species
GAUCCUUGUACACACCGCCCGUCACACCACGAGAGUUUGUAACACCCGAAGUCGGUGGGGUAACCUUUAUGGAGCCAGCCGCCUAAGGUGGGACAGAUGAUUGGGGUGAAGUCGUAACAAGGUAGCCGUAUCGGAAGGUGCGGCUGGAUCACCUCCUUUCUAUGGAGAAUUGAUGAACGCAGUUCAUCAAUAAACGUUGACUUGUUUUGUUUCGUUCAGUUUUGAGAGAACUAUCUCUCAAGUUUAAAUGUAUGUUCUUUGAAAACUAGAUAACUAGUGUAGCUCAUAUUUUUUUAAUUUUAGUUUGGUUAAGUUAGAAAGGGCGCACGGUGGAUGCCUU